AUGGCCAUAUCACAUUGAAAACACCGGUUCUCGUCCGAAGUUAAGCAAUGUCGGGCCCGGUCAGUACUUGGGAGGGUGACCACUGUAAAUAAAGAUAUUAUCUUUAGCC